GCCAUGUAUAUUUCUAUCGUGUUUUUGAAAUAAAGGACUUAAAUGAGACUCUUAAUCUCAGGGUCGUGGGUUCGAGCCCCACGUUGGGCG